CUGUAACUCAUGUCAUUUUAUGACAUUUCACGGAACAUUUGGUCAUUAUGACAUUUAUGAUGCAAUGAAAUAGGCCAUAAAAUGCUGUAAAUUGUUGGCAACAAAAGACAUUCGUAUUUGUGAUGGGCAUUUUAGUUUCAAUCAAGAUGUUAGUAGGUUAAAUCGAAGCUCAGCUUAGAGUUGAAUAGUGAAACAACAUCUAUGAAUUUAUGAAUGAGAGCUGCAAAUUCAGAAACUGGAAAACACAUGAAUUCCAGGUCAUUUGUAUAUCUUGUGCUCGAGUGAAAUGUGAAACAUGAAAAAUUUCUAAUAGUCUGAAGACACCCCACAUUGUCAUCAGCUCUCAGUCACCUGGCCACACGUAACUGCAAGGGAUCCUGGUAAAUGUAGUGACGCUCUACGUGCAGGAGGAAGAGCAACUGAGCUGGUAACCAGCCAGCCACUUUCUGAGCCGGAGAUUUGUAAAUAUUUUGUUUCAUUUUUAGUGACAACACAGCCAAGAUCAAUUACUUCCACUUGCACUUCACCUUUCCAAUCUCAUCUUCAAGUAUUCCCUACGUAAAUUUUACUAAAGUAACAAAAACCCAAGUUCUAUGAUUAUGUUUUCUCUCAUUUAUCUUGCUUUCUCUGUACAUCUCAAAAAUCCAGCUUAGCACUCUUGGGCUAUCUCGGGUGCCACCCACUAAAUUAAAUA